AUUUUGUCGCAUUGUGACGUAUCAGAUAAGUGCGAUAGACGGCCAAUUAGGGCCGUGGAGACAAAAGAAGAUGGCGACUGUGCGCCAUGGAGACGAAGUUGUCAGUUUCAAACUCAGACGUUACGGUGUUCUGCUUGAGGAAGCCGACAUUUUUAGUCAGGAAAAAAGAGGUCCUUAGAAGAUGGUAGAAAAACUGCACAAGAAGCUGCCUAUGGCAUGUUCACGCAGGCUUUUGUGGACACCAACAACGCCAACUUCAACUGAGAGCUGGAGCCUGGACUUCAGUGACUCACAGAAGGCAGCACACAUAACCACAGGGUUUUCGCUGGAGGCUCCGCCCCCACACCUGAGGCACAGGGAAGUUUGCACAUUGAUCAUUGCUGUUAUCUGUCAAAGGAUGACUGACAACAUGAAAAAUGUGAAGAAGUUCAACUGAUCACAAAACAGUUUAUCUGAGGAACUACUGUGAGAUACUGUGGUGACUUUUCCUU